rnacentral:rRNA from 1 species
GACGAACGCUGGCGGCGUGCUUAACACAUGCAAGUCGAACGGAGUUACGUAUGAAGUAUUUCGGUACGGACUAUGUAACUUAGUGGCGAACGGGUGAGUAACACGUGGGCAACCUGCCCUUAACCGGGGGAUAACAUUGUGAAAACAGUGCUAAUACCGCAUAACAGAGUAUCGGGCAUCCGAUAUUUUAAAAGGAGCAAUCCGGUUUAGGAUGGGCCCGCGUCCAAUUAGCUAGUUGGUGAGGUAACGGCUCACCAAGGCUACGAUUGGUAGCCGAACUGAGAGGUUGAUCGGCUACAUUGGGACUGAGACACGGCCCAGACUCCUACGGGAGGCAGCAGUGGGGAAUAUUGGGCAAUGGGCGAAAGCCUGACCCAGCGACGCCGCGUGAAGGAUGAAGGUCUUCGGAUUGUAAACUUCUUUGAUCAGGGAAGAAAGAAAUGACGGUACCUGAAGAACAAGCCACGGCUAACUACGUG